UACGUAGGCGCAAGCGUUAUCCGGAAUUAUUGGGCGUAAAGAGCUCGUAGGCGGUUUGUCGCGUCUGCCGUGAAAGUCCGGGGCUCAACUCCGGAUCUGCGGUGGUACGGGCAGACUAGAGUGAUGUAGGGGAGACUGGAAUUCCUGGUGUAGCGGUGAAAUGCGCAGAUAUCGGGAGGAACACCGGUGGCGAAGGCGGUUCGCUGG
rnacentral:rRNA from 1 species